rnacentral:rRNA from 1 species
GACGAACGCUGGCGGCGUGCUUAACACAUGCAAGUCGAACGGGUCUGCCCUGUUUUUUGCGGGGUGGGUCAGUGGCGAACGGGUGAGUAACACGUGAGUAACCUGCCCCUCACUUCUGGAUAACCGCUUGAAAGGGUGGCUAAUACGGGGUGUUCUGGCUGUGCCGCAUGGUGUGGCUGGGAAAGAUUCACUUUUGUGGUGUUUUGGUGGGGGAUGGGCUCGCGGCCUAUCAGCUUGUUGGUGGGGUGAUGGCCUGCCAAGGCUUUGACGGGUAGCCGGCCUGAGAGGGUGGGCGGUCACACUGGGACUGAGAUACGGCCCAGACUCCUGCGGGAGGCAGCAGGGGGGGGUAUUGCACAAUGGGCGGAAGCCUGAUGCAGCGACGUCGCGGGAGGGAUGGAGGCCUUCGGGUUGUGAACCUCUUUCGCCGGUGAAGAAGGUCCUGCUCUUUGUGGUGGGGUUGACGGUAGCCGGGUUAUGAAGCGCCGGCUAACUACGUG